GCCUACGGGGGGCAGCAGUCGAGAAUCAUUCACAAUGGGGGAAACCCUGAUGGUGCGACGCCGCGUGGGGGAAUGAAGGUCUUCGGAUUGUAAACCCCUGUCAUGUGGGAGCAAAUUAAAAAGAUAGUACCACAAGAGGAAGAGACGGCUAACUCUGUGCCAGCAGCCGCGGUAAUACAGAGGUCUCAAGCGUUGUUCGGAAUCACUGGGCGUAAAGCGUGCGUAGGCUGUUUCGUAAGUCGUGUGUGAAAGGCGCGGGCUCAACCCGCGGACGGCACAUGUUACUGCGAGACUAGAGUAAUGGG
rnacentral:rRNA from 1 species